UUAAUUGAAGAGUUUGAUCAUGGCUCAGAUUGAACGCUGGCGGCAGGCUUAACACAUGCAAGUCGAGCGGUAGCACAAGGGAGCUUGCUCCCCGGGUGACGAGCGGCGGACGGGUGAGUAAUGUCUGGGAAACUGCCUGAUGGAGGGGGAUAACUACUGGAAACGGUAGCUAAUACCGCAUAACGUCGCAAGACCAAAGAGGGGG
rnacentral:rRNA from 1 species